rnacentral:rRNA from 1 species
GACGAACGCUGGCGGCGUGCUUAACACAUGCAAGUCGAACGGAAAGGCCCUGCUUUUGUGGGGUGCUCGAGUGGCGAACGGGUGAGUACACGUGAGUAACCUGCCCUUGACUUUGGGAUAACUUCAGGAAACUGGGGCUAAUACCGGAUAGGAGCUCCUGCUGCCUGGUGGGGGUUGGAAAGUUUCGGCGGUUGGGGAUGGACUCGCGGCUUAUCAGCUUGUUGGUGGGGUAGUGGCUUACCAAGGCUUUGACGGGUAGCCGGCCUGAGAGGGUGACCGGCCACAUUGGGACUGAGAUACGGCCCAGACUCCUACGGGAGGCAGCAGUGGGGAAUAUUGCACAAUGGGCGGAAGCCUGAUGCAGCAACGCCGCGUGCGGGAUGACGGCCUUCGGGUUGUAAACCGCUUUCGCCUGUGACGAAGCGUGAGUGACGGUAAUGGGUAAAGAAGCACCGGCUAACUACGUG